rnacentral:pre_miRNA from 1 species
UGUAAACAUCCUUGACUGGAAGCUGGUGCAGAAGAUGGGGCUUUCAGUCGGAUGUUUGCAGC